rnacentral:rRNA from 1 species
AUUGAACGCUGGCGGCAGGCCUAACACAUGCAAGUCGAGCGGAUGAAGGGAGCUUGCUCCUGGAUUCAGCGGCGGACGGGUGAGUAAUGCCUAGGAAUCUGCCUGGUAGUGGGGGAUAACGUCCGGAAACGGGCGCUAAUACCGCAUACGUCCUGAGGGAGAAAGUGGGGGAUCUUCGGACCUCACGCUAUCAGAUGAGCCUAGGUCGGAUUAGCUAGUUGGUUGGGUAAAGGCCUACCAAGGCGACGAUCCGUAACUGGUCUGAGAGGAUGAUCAGUCACACUGGAACUGAGACACGGUCCAGACUCCUACGGGAGGCAGCAGUGGGGAUAUUGGACAAUGGGCGAAAGCCUGAUCCAGCCAUGCCGCGUGUGUGAAGAAGGUCUUCGGAUUGUAAAGCACUUUAAGUUGGGAGGAAGGGCAGUAAGUUAAUACCUUGCUGUUUUGACGUUACCAACAGAAUAAGCACCGGCUAACUUCGUG